GAUGAACGCUGGCGGCGUGCCUAAUACAUGCAAGUCGAGCGAACAGACGAGGAGCUUGCUCCUCUGACGUUAGCGGCGGACGGGUGAGUAACACGUGGAUAACCUACCUAUAAGACUGGGAUAACUUCGGGAAACCGGAGCUAAUACCGGAUAAUAUAUUGAACCGCAUGGUUCAAUAGUGAAAGACGGUUUUGCUGUCACUUAUAGAUGGAUCCGCGCCGCAUUAGCUAGUUGGUAAGGUAACGGCUUACCAAGGCGACGAUGCGUAGCCGACCUGAGAGGGCGAUCGGCCACACUGGAACUGAGACACGGUCCAGACUCCUACGGGAGGCAGCAGUAGGGAAUCUUCCGCAAUGGGCGAAAGCCUGACGGAGCAACGCCGCGUGAGUGAUGAAGGUCUUCGGAUCGUAAAACUCUGUUAUUAGGGAAGGACAAAUGUGUAAGUAACUAUGCACGUCUUGACGGUACCUAAUCAGAAAGCCACGGCUAACUACGUG
rnacentral:rRNA from 1 species